rnacentral:rRNA from 1 species
GCAGCGGACUUCGGUCCAAUGCUUUGUGAAGCUUAGUGGCGAACGGGUGAGUAACAGGUAGACAACUUGCCUCAAUGACUGGGAUAACAUCGGGAAACUGGUGCUAAUACCGGAUAGGAUAUAGAUUCGCAUGAAUUUAUAUUUAAAGAUGGUUCUGCCAUCACAUUGAGAGAGGUCUGCUUCGUAUUAGCUUGUUGGUGAGGUAAUGGCUCACCAAGGCGAUGAUGCGUAGCCGAGCUGAGAGGCUGAUCGGCCACACUGGAACUGAGACACGGUCCAGACUCCUACGGGAGGCAGCAGUUAGGGAUAUUCGGCAAUGGACGAAAGUCUGACCGAGCAAUGCCGCGUGAAUGAAGAAGUAUUUCGAUAUGUAAAGUUCUGUUGUAAGGAAAGAAUGAUAGUGAUAGGAAAUGAUCAUUAUUUGACGGUACCUUACCAGUAAGCCCCGGCUAACUACGUGCCAGCAGCCGCGGUAAUACGUAGGGGGCGAGCGUUAUCCGGAAUUAUUGGGCGUAAAGGGUGCGUAGGUGGCCUUACAAGUCUGAGUUGAAAGCCCACGGCUUAACCGUGGAGGGUGCUCGGAAACUGUAAGGCUUGAAUCCAGAAGAGGCAAGUGGAAUUCUAUGUGGAGCGGUGGAAUGCGUAGAUAUAUGGAGGAACACCAGUGGCGAAGGCGGCUUGCUGGUCUGGGAUUGACACU